UACGUAGGGGGCUAGCGUUGUCCGGAAUCAUUGGGCGUAAAGCGCGUGUAGGCGGCCCGGUAAGUCCGCUGUGAAAGUCGGGGGCUCAACCCUCGAAUGCCGGUGGAUACUGUCGGGCUAGAGUACGGAAGAGGCGAGUGGAAUUCCUGGUGUAGCGGUGAAAUGCGCAGAUAUCAGGAGGAACACCGGUGGCGAAGGCGGGUCUCUGGGCCGAUACUGACGCUGAGGAGCGAAAGCGUGGGGAGCGAACAGG
rnacentral:rRNA from 1 species